rnacentral:rRNA from 1 species
GACGAACGCUGGCGGCGUGCUUAACACAUGCAAGUCGAGCGGUAAGGCCCUUUCGGGGGUACACGAGCGGCGAACGGGUGAGUAACACGUGGGUGACCUGCCCUCAGCUCUGGGAUAAGCCUGGGAAACUGGGUCUAAUACCGGAUAUGACUUCGCAUCGCAUGGUGUGGGGUGGAAAGUUUUUCGGCUGGGGAGUGGGCCCGCGGCCUAUCAGCUUGUUGGUGGGGUGAUGGCCUACCAAGGCGACGACGGGUAGCCGGCCUGAGAGGGCGACCGGCCACACUGGGACUGAGACACGGCCCAGACUCCUACGGGAGGCAGCAGUGGGGAAUAUUGGGCAAUGGGCGCAAGCCUGACCCAGCGACGUCGCGUU